rnacentral:rRNA from 1 species
CCUACGGGAGGCAGCAGUAGGGAAUUUUCGUCAAUGGGCGCAAGCCUGAACGAGCGAUGCCGCGUGAGUGAAGAAGGCCUUCGGGUCGUAAAGCUCUGUUGCGGGGGAAAAAAGGCAGCAUGAGGAAAUGGGUGCUGACUGAUGGUGCCCCGCCAGAAAGUCACGGCUAACUACGUGCCAGCAGCCGCGGUAAUACGUAGGUGGCGAGCGUUAUCCGGAAUGAUUGGGCGUAAAGGGUGCGCAGGCGGUCCGGCAAGUCUGGAGUGAAACGCAGGGGCUCAACCCAUGCAUGGCUUGGGAAACUGGAGGACGGGAGAGCAGGAGAGGGCGGUGGAACUCCAGGUGUAGCGGUAAAAGGCGUAGAUAGAUGGAAGAACACCAGUGGCGAAGGCGGCCGCCUGGCCGGUUGCUGACGCUGAGGCACGAAAGCGUGGGGAGCAAAUAGGAUUAGAUACCCGAGUAGUC